GGGAUCCCGCUAACAUGUUUAAACCCGCCACAUUAUGUAUGUAUGUGCCUGUCCCAAGUCAGGAGCCUGUAAUUCAGUAGUUGUCGUUUGUUUAUGUGUUACAUAUUUGUUUUUCGUUCAUUUUUUUUAUAUAAAUAAGGACGUUAGUUUUCUCGUUUGAAUUGUUUUACAUUGUCAUAUCGGGGCCUUUUAUAGCUGACUAUGCGGUAUGGGCUUUGCUCAUUGUUGAAG
rnacentral:lncRNA from 1 species